AACAAACGCCACCUACAUCACAUCGCCUCAGAAAAAUUAACUUUCACUUCCUUUUUCUUUUCAAAGCACUAAAAAAGCAGUCAAGUCUCUGAUGGAGUGAAACUUAGCUGAUAAGUUUGUGUUUGAGCCUUCACAAUCCUGCUCCCAACUGGUUGAGAAAGAAAACGAAAGUCUAGAAGGGCCUGUGUGAGGGCUAUAAAUUUUACCUUCUGGACAGAUGUACCUACACAAAGAGCUUGCGUCCACAUGACUUCGUUCUGGGUGGCGGCCACUGCCCCAGCCCUCUGGAUCUUCUGAUCAAUAAAACUACCUCUAUCUGAAAAUAAUGUCACCUCAGCCUCUUCCAGAGGAUUGUCUCUGACAUCAGACCUACAAGCUUGAGUGAGAUCUAGGAGGUCCUGGCAAUCAUGGAUUAUUUCUUCUGGAUUGUCAUCUGGCAGCAAGGUGUUGACUGAAGAACCAUCAACCACCAAUAAAUGAAACAACAGAUUCUGUUAUGACUGGAGACAUUCAUUCAACUGAGCAAGCAGUGAAGAAAGGCUGUAUUUUGCCCUCUUGGCCUUUUAAAAUCUUGCAGUCUAUUAAGUAGUCCCAACAAACUAAUGAAGUCUGCACACAGUCUGCAUGGAAGAACUAUGAUUUCCUGAGCAAUCUGAUCUGGAACAAUUCUCAGAAUAGAGAUAAUUCAGUUUCAAAGAUGUAUUUUUUAUUCUAUCAACAACAGGUUAUAAACACAAUAACGUAA